rnacentral:rRNA from 1 species
UACGAGGGGGGCGAGCGUUGUUCGGAAUUAUUGGGCGUAAAGGGUGCGUAGGCGGUUUUGUAAGUCUUAUGUGAAAUCUAUGGGCUCAACUCAUAGACUGCAUGAGAAACUGCAGGGCUUGAGUAUGGGAGAGGUGAGUGGAAUUCCUGGUGUAGCGGUGAAAUGCGUAGAUAUCAGGAGGAACACCGGUGGCGAAGGCGACAUCCUGGACCGGUAUUGACGCUGAGGCGCGAAAGCCAGGGGAGCAAACGGG